CAUGGUAAACAAUGGAAACGUUGAAGCACGUGCAUAGAAAUCAAAAGCAACUCAGCACAAAAUUGAAAAUGAAAUGCGUUCAUCUCUCUCUUUCUCUCUCAGUUUCCGUCUCCGCCGCGCCGGAGGCUCCCUCGGCGGAGGAGAUACCUAGAAUUCACAAAUUUAACCAUCAAUCUUUCUGUUUCUUCUUCCUCUACACUGAUUCAGUCUCAAAUUUCUCCAAUUUCCAAUCAAUAAACCGAAUCGAACCUAAUUCAGAAUGAACCCUAGAUGAAAAAUUCAUAAAUGAAAUGGCAAUCAAGCUCAAUCUCGAUCCAUAGACAUAGGGUUAAUGCUCCUCCACCUCUAAAUAAUCAUCUGGUAACGACAAUUGAAGCAACUCGGAAGAAUUAAUGAGCUUACCGGAACUACUCAAGGACUGAGAUGCAACAAGAAUUGUGCUUCCAACCACUGAGAGCAUGGAAGAGUGAAGAGGAACUCGUGGUGAGAAUGGGUGAGAUUGAAAGCAUGUGUUGUGGAUUGGUUGCACUGUGUUUCGGAUUGGAUUUGCAGAAAAUCAACUAAGAGCUUCGAAGGUGUGUGAAUUGAAGAGUGAUUGAGGAUUUUAGAAGAAUGAUUUUCUGGUGAGUGAAGGUGAUGGUGAUUUUUGAGGAUGAAUGAAUUCUGAUGAAGAUGAUAGUUUUGAUGAAUGGAUUUUGAGUCCCCUUGAUGAGUGGAGAUGAAUGAUGAUGUAUAACUCAAAGUUUGAUUUUUGGGUGAAUCAAUGGAUUUGGUGAAUCGAAGGAUGUUAUGAUUAGCGUGAUGAAUGAAGCCUUAUAGAAGUUAGGAGUUGGUUCUGUUAUAGGUUAGUUGAAGUUUGUUGGACAGUUGGAAUUUAGUUGUGAAUUUGUUAUGAUCUGUUAUGAUUUUGUUCUGAAGUUAGUUACAAUUUGGAAAUUCAGUUAGAUAUUGGUUAGGGAUUUGUGUGAAGGGUGGUUUUGUUAGGAUUGUUGAAGUUUGUUGAUAGAGGGAAUGGUUCUUCAAUUCGUUUGAAGAUUGGAGAGAGUGAGGAAGAGGUUCUCAGUCCUUGGAGAGUGAGGUUUAGUUAUGUUACUAAUUCUGUUACAAGCCCUUUCUUGAGAAGUUUGGCCAGCUUUUUGUGAGAAGUUGUGGGCAUGGUUUUGGGAUUUGCUUGAACCUGGCUAGGAUGCUUUGGAGUACAUCAUGUGGAAUUGGAAUUGAUUAGAUUUGGCUAUCGGAUCAUGUUGGAUAUUACGGAAUUUAUUGUAAAUUUUGUAAUUUGAAAUACAUUGAAAAAUAGGAAGGAUGUAUUAUGGUUUUGUUUGAAAUGAAUGUGUUUGAAAAUGAAAAUGAAAAUGUAUGCAUGGUUAUGUAUUGGAAUUGUAAUGGAAAUGUGUAUUAAAAAAUAGUUGAAUGAUAAA